AUUUCCCUUUCGUGCAAUGAAGAAAGAGUUAUUUAAAGCAAUCAGACUCUUAGUACUUUAAGUUCUCUUCUGAUACAUAUGUUAGUAAUAUUUCUCUAUUUCAUUUCUCGUAUAAAGUCAUGCUCAGAAAGAAUUGACCCAUAAGUGUGAGGGAAAAUGCGACACCUUUCAUCCUAAUUUCUCAUCCCAGUUGGUAGUAAUCAAAGAUCAUUUAAAGAUGUAUAAAACAAUA